AGGGAAUCUUCCACAAUGGACGAAAGUCUGAUGGAGCAACGCUGCGUGAGUGAAGAAGGGUUUCGGCUCGUAAAGCUCUGUUGGUAGUGAAGAAAGAUAGAGGUAGUAACUGGCCUUUUAUUGACGGUAAUUACUUAGAAAGUCACGGCUAACUAC
rnacentral:rRNA from 1 species